GCGAGAUCGAGAGAUGGAGCAAAUCCCAAAAAUAACGUCCCAGUUCGGACUGUAGUCUGCAACCCGACUACACGAAGCUGGAAUCGCUAGUAAUCGCGGAUCAGAAUGCCGCGGUGAAUACGUUCCCGGGUCUUGUACACACCGCCCGUCACACCAUGGGAGUCAGUAACGCCCGAAGUCAGUGACCUAACCGAAAGGGAGGAGCUGCCGAAGGCGGGACGGAUGACUGGGGUGAAGUCGUAACAAGGUACC
rnacentral:rRNA from 1 species